GGAUUACAUGCACGAGAUCGCUGCUGAAAUUAAGACUUUAAGUGGGCUGGAAAUGAAAUAACAAAAGAGAAAGAAAAGAAUAAGAAGUCUUAUGAUCUUUAAAUGUGCAAGAGUAGAAAUAUUAUGGGUUAGAAAUAUUGUUUCAUGGUCUAAUAAAAGGUUUAGUGCUGAACUCUUUUUAUGUUAUGUUAUAUGGAAAUAUUUUGGGUUACCAAGCUAGUUUGAAGGCAUUACAUCUAAAUAAAUUCUUACUAUUAAACCUGGAGUAGUUAUCACUGCCUUAAGUUACAUAAUUCUUGUGAAUUUGUUUAUACAGUCGUUCACAUGCAAUCUUCACU
rnacentral:misc_RNA from 1 species